CCUACGGGUGGCAGCAGUGGGGAAUUUUGCACAAUGGGCGCAAGCCUGAUGCAGCCAUGCCGCGUGUAUGAAGAAGGCCUUCGGGUUGUAAAGUACUUUCAGUCGUGAGGAAGGUGUUAAGGCUAAUAACCUUAGCAAUUGACGUUAGCGACAGAAGAAGCACCGGCUAACUCCGUGCCAGCAGCCGCGGUAAUACGGAGGGUGCGAGCGUUAAUCGGAAUUACUGGGCGUAAAGGGCACGCAGGCGGUUAAUUAAGUUGGAUAUGAAAUCCCCGGGCUUAACCUGGAAAUGGCAUUCAAGACUGGUUAGGUAGAGUCUUGUAGAGGAGGGUAGAAUUCGAUGUGUAGCGGUGAAAUGCGUAGAGAUGUGGAGGAAUACCGGUGGCGAAGGCGGCCAGCUGGACAGAGACUGGCACACACGUGCGAAAGCGUGAGGAGCAAACAGGAUUAGAUACGCAGGUAGUC
rnacentral:rRNA from 1 species